AUGGUACCAGAUGGUAGUAGUUCAGAGGCAACACCGCCGGAGAGUCUGAGCACAGAUAUUAUAGUUCUUGAGGCUCUACUAGAGGCAGAAAGAGAUGGUGUGGCUGCCAUGAAUGAGGUAAUCUUGAUCUUAAGGCCAGAAAUUAUGCAAUUAGCGGCACGCAUUAUGGAAGCAACCCAAGAAUUGGAGGAAGUAAGAAUGUUGCAUUUGAAGACGGAGGAGGUCCUGCUGUUUCUGCUAUCUGAAGCCCAGGGUAAUCCUGGUUCUUCUUUAGAUACUAGUUGA
rnacentral:rRNA from 1 species